UGGCUCUAUUCUGAUCACCGCGCUCUCUAUUAACAAUUUGUAGAACUAACAGUAGUGAGCGAGAAAGGCAAAGGCUACUGACAUCACAAACUUGUUGAAACCUGUCGUUGUUCUUCAAUUCCAUUGUGGUGUGUGCUCCCUUUGUGUCUGUGCUUAAUUUUUACUUAUCAAUUCCUUAUCAAAAACCUAUGAUAUUUCACCUCAAUCAACAUGGUAAACCAGUCGAUCAAGAAACAUAUUCUAGAGUUGAAAAUGGGAACCUGCCAUCUGGAGGAUCUCAUCCAACGACUUCAUGCAAAUAAUGUCUUGGACACAGAGACUAUUAAUUCACUUGCUGCAGCAAGAGAUGAUCAAAAUAAGGUCGAUCAGCUUUAUGAGCAUUUACUGCUCACAUCAGAUGAUAUGACCCCAUUAAUUUUACCAGUUUUGCGGAAUCCGGUAAUGAUCGUCUUCAGGACUUUGUCGAAGCACGUGAAACAGUCGAAUUGGUUGGUGACCUACGUGUUCAUUACCAUGAGACGGACAAAGAUGCAAGGAAAGCAUUCCAUCAUAACAAGAAAAACAAAAAGAGCAUUG
rnacentral:lncRNA from 1 species